AGUGAACGCUGGCGGUAGGCCUAACUCAUGCAAGUCGAACGGCAGCACAGUAAGAGCUUGCUCUUACGGGAGGCGAGUGGCGGACGGGUGAGGAAUACAUCGGAAUCUACUUUUUCGUGGGGGAUAACGUAGGGAAACUUACGCUAAUACCGCAUACGACCUACGGGUGAAAGCAGGGGAUCUUCGGACCUUGCGCGAUUGAAUGAGCCGAUGUCGGAUUAGCUAGUUGGCGGGGUAAAGGCCCACCAAGGCGACGAUCCGUAGCUGGUCUGAGAGGAUGAUCAGCCACACUGGAACUGAGACACGGUCCAGACUCCUACGGGAGGCAGCAGUGCGGAAUAUUGGACAAUGGGCGCAAGCCUGAUCCAGCCAUACCGCGUGGGUGAAGAAGACCUUCGGGUUGUAAAGCCCUUUUGUUGGGAAAGAAAAGCAGCAGGUUAAUACCCCGCUGUUCUGACGGUACCCAAAGAAUAAGCACCGGCUAACUUCGUG
rnacentral:rRNA from 1 species